rnacentral:rRNA from 1 species
AUGGGGUGCAGCAGGGGCGAACACUUUACAAUGCGGGAAACCGCGAUAAGGGAACCCCGAGUGCCACCAUCGAAUGUUGGCUGUCCGGAUGGUUAAAAAUCAUUUGUUAGCAUGGGCCGGACAAGACCGGUGCCAGCCGCCGCGGUAACACCGGCGGCCCGAGUGGUAGCCGUUUUUAUUGGGUCUAAAGGGUCCGUAGCCGGCCUGAUAAGUCCUUUGGGAAAUCUGACAGCUUAACUGUCAGGCUUCUAAGGGAUACUGUCAGGCUUGGGACCGGAAGAGGUAAGGGGUACUCCAGGGGUAGGAGUGAAAUCUUGUAAUCCCUGGGGGACCAUCUGUGGCGAAGGCGCCUUACCAGAACGGAUCUGACGGUGAGGGACGAAAGCUGGGGGCGCAAACCGGAUUAGAUACCCGGGUAGUCCCAGCCGUAAACGAUGCUCGCUAUGUGUCAGGUGCGGUGUGACCGUAUCUGGUGCCGUAGGGAAGCCGUGAAGCGAGCCACCUGGGAAGUACGGUCGCAAGACUGAAACUUAAAGGAAUUGGCGGGGGAGCACUACAACGGGUGGAGCCUGCGGUUUAAUUGGACUCAACGCCGGAAAACUCACCGGGGGCGACAGCAAUAUGUAGGUCAGGCUAAAGACCUUACCUGAAUCGCUGAGAGGAGGUGCAUGGCCGUCGUCAGUUCGUACUGUGAAGCAUCCUGUUAAGUCCGGCAACGAGCGAGACUCGUGCCCACUGUUGUCAGCAUGUCCUUCGUGAUGAUGGCUGACUACUGACGGGACCGCUGCUGCUGCAGCAGAGAAAGAUGCAGGCUAACGCAGAUCACCUGAUCCUAAUCUCUCCGCUACACUCGACCUGCUAUGACUUGGAGAUUGGGACUGAAUGCCUCAAGGACAUGGAGGAGAAAUAAAAUCAACAUUAUAUCUAAUUUAUGAG